AGUGAACGCUGGCGGUAGGCCUAACACAUGCAAGUCGAACGGCAGCACAGUAAGAGCUUGCUCUUACGGGUGGCGAGUGGCGGACGGGUGAGGAAUACAUCGGAAUCUACUUUUUCGUGGGGGAUAACGUAGGGAAACUUACGCUAAUACCGCAUACGACCUACGGGUGAAAGCAGGGGAUCUUCGGACCUUGCGCGAUUGAAUGAGCCGAUGUCGGAUUAGCUAGUUGGCGGGGUAAAGGCCCACCAAGGCGACGAUCCGUAGCUGGUCUGAGAGGAUGAUCAGCCACACUGGAACUGAGACACGGUCCAGACUCCUACGGGAGGCAGCAGUGGGGAAUAUUGGACAAUGGGCGCAAGCCUGAUCCAGCCAUACCGCGUGGGUGAAGAAGGCCUUCGGGUUGUAAAGCCCUUUUGCUGGGAAGGAAAAGCAGCAGGUUAAUACCCCGCUGUUCUGACGGUACCCAAAGAAUAAGCACCGGCUAACUUCGUG
rnacentral:rRNA from 1 species